rnacentral:rRNA from 1 species
ACUUUAAUUGAAGAGUUUGAUCAUGGCUCAGAUUGAACGCUGGCGGCAGGCCUAACACAUGCAAGUCGAGCGGUAACAUUUCAAAAGCUUGCUUUUGAAGAUGACGAGCGGCGGACGGGUGAGUAAUGCCUGGGAAUUUGCCCAUUUGUGGGGGAUAACAGUUGG